rnacentral:rRNA from 1 species
CGCCUGGGGAGUGCGGUCGCAAGAUUAAAACUCAAAUGAAUUGACGGGGGCCCGCGCAAGCGGUGGAGCAUGUGGUUUAAUUCGAUGCAACGCGAAGAACCUUACCUACUCUUGACAUCCAGAGAACCUUUUAGAGAUAGAAGGGUGCCUUCGGGAACUCUGAGACAGGUGCUGCAUGGCUGUCGUCAGCUCGUGUUGUGAAAUGUUGGGUUAAGUCCCGCAACGAGCGCAACCCUUAUCCUUGUUUGCCAGCACUUCGGGUGGGAACUCCAGGGAGACUGCCGGUGAUAAACCGGAGGAAGGUGGGGACGACGUCAAGUCAUCAUGGCCCUUACGAGUAGGGCUACACACGUGCUACAAUGGCAUAUACAGAGGGCUGCCAACUCGCGGGAGUGAGCGAAUCCCAUAAAGUAUGUCGUAGUCCGGAUUGGAGUCUGCAACUCGACUCCAUGAAGUCGGAAUCGCUAGUAAUCGUGGAUCAGAAUGCCACGGUGAAUACGUUCCCGGGCCUUGAACACACCGCCCGUC